UGACAGUCUUGUUAGAGAGUAGAUCUACAAAGAAGCGAAAGAAAUUUGUUAGUUGACAAACUCGUCAAAAUAUCAAAAAAUACACACGGACUAGUAAAAAAAGAAGGACUCCGCGCCGUGAUAUUAAAUCUUUGCUUAGAAGCAGCCAUAUGUACACAUAAUGGUAAAAGAAAAUGUGGAUUUCAACAUCACAAUAGCGAGGUGAGACGGUUUUUGGACUCGUGUGAUAUUCUUGAGUUCAACUGUGAGUACGGGACGAAAUUCAAGCGUGCCCCACUAUGGAUGUGUAUGGACGUACCACCUCUGUAACUAAUGUAUUUUAUAAGAAUAUCUUUAAAAAAUACUUAUGUAUUGAAUAAUACAAUAGAUAAGAAAUUCUUUUAUAUUUCUAAGUUUACCCUCCGGUUCAGUAUAUAUGUCGCAGUUAUAUUGUCAAAACCUUGAUAUUACAAUUUCACUAUAUUAUAUAUAUAUAUAUUAUAAUUUAUCGGUAGAUUUAAUUUCUUACAAUUUAACGGUCUGGAUUUAGCGGCAUUGUAAUGUCACGUGUCACAAUAAACUAUCCAUUACUAUACUAUACCAGCAAAGCCCCUACAGAAAAAUCAAAGGCAAUAUCACAAAUUCAUAUAUUUGCCGAAGAAUCACAUCAAGGCUGUAAAAUCACUAUCGUAUCCAAUAUUAAGACCGAAUACUUUUAAAGACAUAAAACCAUCAUUCAACAUAACAUUAGAGAACCGACGUCCGAGUGCUGAGUACACAAUAUUUAACAAUAAAUCAUGGCAAACUUUGAAUGUGCGUGGGUGCCCCAACACACUAGAUAACACCAUGUCAUUGCAAUGUCGUCGAUGCAGUGACAAACAUCAUGUUGCACAUGAAUUUCAAUGCAAGAUUUUAGUGUGAUGAACUCUGAAAUGAAAAGAUCAUGGUUAAGUGACGUAUGCAGGUAUAAACAACGUCAUAAAUUAAAUCUGAACAUGCAAGUCAAUCUACACAAAUGCUACACAUUAUUAAGGAGAACGAAACUCAUCGAGAUUCAGCAAACCAAACUUUUACAACUCGUCUUACACAACUUGAACAACAGACACGAGCUUUUAAUAUUGAAAUCCAAUGUGUUCCCGAAAACAGUAUUUGCAAGAGUGUUUGAGCUACUUAAAUGUCCUGUCGUUUUAUGGCUGUAGCUUUAACUUUGUUACUGAGCAGCAUGGGGUUGUGAAAGCUCGAUCAACAGGUACCAACCUUGUUUCCUUUGUGGAAGAGAUUACUGAGGCUCUUGAUACUGGCCAAUCCGUUGACGCAAUCUACACCGAUUUUAGUAAGGCCUUUAACAAGGUUGAUCACUCUAAUUUACUUAUGAAACUCAAAGGCAUAGUUAUAGCAGACCCGAUGCUGGACUGCUUUAAAUCGUAUCUUUCCAAUCAGUCACCAACUUUUGUUGUUAAUGGUUAUGCUUCUGAACCGUUUUUUGCCUAUUCUGGUAUAGCUCAAGGGUCUCAUCUUGGAUCUUUAUUGUUUAACAUAUCUUUUAACGACAUAUGUAAUGACUUUAGGUAUUCUUUAUGCUGCUUUCUAAUUCCUAAUUCUUAUGUUUUAUUUGCUGACGAUCUAAUAAUUUUUAGACCUGUCUCUACAAAUUCAGAUGCAUUUUUAUUUUUUAUUAUGGUGUCGUAACAACGGCAUGAUGUUAAAUGCUAAUAAGUGUCAUGUUAUUAGAUUUUCUAGAAAGAAAACAUCUAUUUCAACAACAUAUCACAUUGGUGUACGUAUUUUGUCUGAUGUUCCUCAAAUUCGCUAUUUAGGAGUUGCGCUAGACAAGUAGAAGCUCCGCUAUAAUUACCACAUAUGUAGAUAAUAUUGUUAGCAAGGGUUUUAUGACUCUUGUCUUCCUCUUCCGCAACUGUAGGCAAUUAAAGAAUGCACGCACUAAAAUAAUUAAUUACUUAGCUUUGGUAUUUACAUAGUAUCUUGGAAUAUUGUAGCAUUGUAUGGAAUACACACUUUGAUAUUUACUCACAAAGAAUCGAAAAGAGAUUUCUUUAGCAUCUAUCUUACGAUCAUAACCUAGUUAAAACUCUUAGGAGUUACGAGGAUAAAUUAAAUUACUUCAAGCUUCAGUCACUCUCAAAUCGAAGACAGCUCCUCGAUGUUACUUUCUUAAAUGAGUUGGUGAAAGGCGUCAUUGAUAGUAUUUAUUUUUAAGUUCAAAUAAAUAUUUGUGCCCCACUAAAGACAAUAAAUCCGUCGUAUUUUAUGCCAUUCGUAGAAAAAAGCACACGCUCACGACAAGUACGCUAUUCUCCGAUUUAUAGAUUGAUGUUUAGUUAUAAUGCUAUGGUAAUAUAUAAAUUUUAACAAAAGAAAUAUAUUGGUGUCUUAGCGACUAUACUGUUAAAAAAGAGAAACAUAAAAAAGUAUUGAUAUUUUUUCGGACAAUCUUUCGUCAUUUAAAUGCAAUUUAUUUCAUUUAUAUUCAUAAUAUAAAAAAUUGAAAUUUAUAGGCAAAAAGUAUAUUUUAUUCAAAUAAUUAUUAAAUAUUGCUAAUUUUAAGUUUUAUUUAAUUGGGAAAUGAUGUAUGUUUUAAUUAUUACAAAAUGUUAUUGAUUUCCUAGUAAUUUAUGUUUUAUUAAAUUUGAAAAAUUCCAAUAAUUUUUGCAUUCAUUUCAAUUCCUGUUUUUGUGUCUAUGUUU